UUAGAUGAAGAGGAACAUGAAUCUGUGUUCUGAUGGGAAGAAACCACCAGGGCAAAGGUAUUUUUGAGGCAGUUGGAGAGACCUGAACAUGAUUGGGUUUCAGGUCUCUGCACCUCUUCCUGUCCCCUCAGCUCCGUCAAAGCGGAAACCGAUACAUCUGAAUAGCCAAGAGCCCGAGGGUGAGGAGGACCCUGAUCUGGAAGGAGCGUGGAGGGAUUAACAGGUUUUAAAGUUGGACUACGCAUACGCCAGCAGGGAUAUGGAAGAGCAGAAUUCUUAUACAUGGGUGGCGGAGAUUUAAACUGGUACAGCCUCCAUCGAGGACCACACAAGCUGAAGAUAUACAAACCUUUGUGUGAUAGUGCCACUUCUAUUUACAUGUCUAGAAGCAGCUCUCACACACGUGCAGGUCUGAUGUUGAGAAUGUCCACAACAGAUCUCCCUCCCUCCCUCCCUUCCUUUUUUCCUUCCUCUCUCCCUCUCUCCUUCCCUCCUUCUCUCUCUCU